UUCGCAGGGUCCUGGUGGUGAAUGCAGCUGCCUCCCCUGCAGAGAGGCUGAGCCUGGUCGGAGCAAGAAGCUCGGCUGCACCGCUCACCUGCAGGAGAAGGACCCAUCACUCCGUGCUGGUACCGUUGUCAGCAGUGCUCUUGCCGAUUGCAAGACUGGUGGAAGCAUCAAAGGGGGUUAGUGGGCUGACAGUGAUUAAAAAUAUCGACUCCUGCUUUAGCUCUUGCCUGCUUUAGCUCUGCUUGCUUUCCAGUUUUUGGGUUUGCUGUGGCUAGCAGAAAUGCAGGCAAGUGUGGGAAGCUUUCUUGUGGCUGGCACUUGUCACUUACGGGUUAGGGGUAAACGGAUAGAAAAGGGAGGCUUUGCUCAGGGGAGAAACAAUGACUAUCCCAUCAGCUGCCUAAGACGGUCACUGGGACAGACACUGUGUUCUGACUUCACUCUCUGUCCUCCCUGUUGUCUAGGAGGAGGAGGGAGAGGGAAAGAUUGAUCUGUGGGUGGAAAUUCAGGACUGCAAAGGUCCAACAGAAAGGACAAGGUUCCCCAGUAGCCAGCACAGCUCAGCCACACACUGAUCUCAUUGUCAUUUUUGGUAACGUCUGGUGCAGUGUCCAAGCAGAAGCCUUGGAGUCAGGGUCCAGGACUGGGAAGGAGCUCAUGGAGCUGUCAGGAAUUGCAAGGGGCUGGAGGCGGUGGUUUCUGCAAGGUGAAGUGGGAAGGGCAAUUGAUCAGGGUCCUGAGCACUCUCACUUGACAAGGACAGCCUAUGUAGUGUUCACAAAGGUCCAUACAAGCCCCUUCCCUCUAGAGUAAAAUUACUCUUUCUUUUCCACUCAGUGCCCUUGGAAUGUGUGCCUAAUGAUGAUCAAUGAAAAUAGAAGCCCUGUUGCAGCGAGACUCAUGAGGUCCUGCUCACAGCUGGCACACAGAGGCAUGGCUGUAAAAAGAAGAUGCUGGGCAUCAGGACUAAUUGUCCCACCAGAUUCCUCCUCACCUUGGAAAACCCUUGUCUCCUCCCAGCAGGGGAGAUGGGCCGCCUGUCCUGGUGUGGAUACUGGUAUGCCAGCCAGAUGCUCUGCGAGCAGAUUUUCAACUUUCAGUGUCAUUUCAAAUUUCAGAAAAAUAAGUGUGGAAAACAGCCUGAUGACAGCUUUGUGACAUCCACCCCUCUACCUCCGAGUGCCUUUUAUCCGACAGGAAAACAAAACAGUUAAGGAAGACUGGAAAAAUUAAUACACAUUUUCACCCUUUCUCCUC
rnacentral:lncRNA from 1 species